GGGCUCUUGGCCGAGCGGUCUAAGGCGCUGCAUUCAAGUCGCAGUAUCUCACGAUGCAAGGGUUCGAACCCCUUAGAGCUCA